CCCGCUGAACUUAAGCAUAUCAAUAAGCGGAGGAAAAGAAACUAACAAGGAUUCCCCUAGUAACGGCGAGUGAAGCGGGAAGAGCUCAAAUUUAAAAUCUGGUUUGCUUUGCAAAUCCGAGUUGUAGUCUGAAGAAACGUUUUCCAUGAAAGCUGAGGCACAAGUCCUUUGGAACAGGGCAUCAUAGAGGGUGAGAAUCCCGUCCAUGGUCUCAAGCCUUUCAUUUUGUGAUACGUUUUCUAAGAGUCAGGUUGUUUGGGAAUGCAGCCUAAAAUGGGUGGUAAAUUUCAUCUAAAGCUAAAUAUUGGCGAGAGACCGAUAGCGAACAAGUACCGUGAGGGAAAGAUGAAAAGCACUUUGGAAAGAGAGUUAAACAGUACGUGAAAUUGUUAAAAGGGAAACGCUUGAAGUCAGUCACGUUUGCUUGGACUCAGCCUUACUUCGGUUUGGUGCAUUUCCUUGCAGACGGGCCAGCGUCCAUGUUGUUUGCCGGAGAAGGGGUGAGAGAAUGUGGCUCCUUUGGGAGUGUUAUAGCUCUUGCUCGUAUGCGGGGAAUGAUAUGGAGUGGUACAGCACACUUUGGUGGUGUUUGUGCUGGCAUAAUGGCUUUAAACGACCCGUCUUGAAACACGG
rnacentral:rRNA from 1 species